rnacentral:tRNA from 1 species
UCCCUCAUAGUCUAGUGGUUAAGACUUGGCACUUUUACAGCUCUGACCCAGGUUCAAUCCUUGGUCUGGGUU